UACGUAGGGUGCGAGCGUUGUCCGGAAUUAUUGGGCGUAAAGAGCUUGUAGGCGGCUUGUCGCGUCUGCUGUGAAAAUCCGAGGCUCAACCUCGGACUUGCAGUGGGUACGGGCAGGCUAGAGUGUGGUAGGGGAGACUGGAAUUCCUGGUGUAGCGGUGAAAUGCGCAGAUAUCAGGAGGAACACCGAUGGCGAAGGCAGGUCUCUGGGCCACUACUGACGCUGAGAAGCGAAAGCAUGGGGAGCGAAC
rnacentral:rRNA from 2 species